GGCGGACCAGGAUUUCUAGCCGUCGGAUCAGAGCCUUUAGGCAGGACAAGCAAACAAUGCUCGACGGUGACAGUAACCGUUUGGUUUUAUGCGCGGUGGCUUCGUCCGUGUAAUGGCUGAUUGGUUGGACGGUUCGGGCAGUUGAGCUUAUCGAAACAAUGAUGGGAUCGAACGGCUAAAAGUAAGCAGACAUAUCCGCAAAAAGAAAAGAAGUAACGGGACGU
rnacentral:lncRNA from 1 species